AAAAUUUAAAACAAAAAUGGUUGUUGAAAAAUCUAAAAAACCUUUAACUGUCAGCGAAUUUGUGCGACAAUAUAAUGAAGCAAGCCCAGAAUUACGAAGAAUGGUCCGUGAAGAGGUAAAUAUAAUUGCCGAAGUUCCGGAUCACGCUUACGAUGAAAUUCAAUCCAUCAUGGAUAGAAGAAA